GUAUCUUUGAACAGCUAUUACUAAUGAGAACUUUUCUUAACUGACUGCAAAUUUAUAUUUAUUAAGAUUGUACUUAAGGGUCUUUGAAUGGUUUUGGGUCACAAAGAACCUUCAAAUUUUUUUUAUGUCACGUAUUUGAAGAUGUGUCAUGUUCCUUGGAGUCAGCUCAUCUCCAGUUUAAAUAUCUCCAAUUCUUUCAAUUACUCCCCACAAGACCGUUUCUUCAUUUCAACAAGCUUAACCUAGCUUCAUGUAUUAGUUCACACAGGAAACCCUGUGGAAAAGAGCUCGAGGCUAUGAGAUUCAGCAAUGUUGCCUGCAGCCCUAUAUAUUUAAUUGAUUCCAUUGAAUUAAGGAAAAGGUACUUUCUACUUGUUCUAGUCUAAAUUAGCAGUCUGAAGUUUACAUAAUGGACUUCACUAUUUUGGGUGGGCUAAAAUUGAGGUUAAAACAAACACGAUUAUUUAAUCCUGUACUAUAUUAUAAUCAGCGUGUUCAGCAAGAGACUUAAAGUUUUAAUUCAUUAUUAACCACAUUGUACACAAACCAGCUUCUCCUUUUACAUAGUAAGAGGCAACAUUCCCAGAGUCAUUAGCUAUUGCUUAAUCUUUUUAAACAAAGCUCCCUUCUUAAAUGUUUUCUGUGGACGUAGCCAAUUCAGACUGUUGGGCUCUCAUCUCCAGGGCCGUCUGCUUAGCACCUGUUGAUCACUUCUAAUGGCAACAUAUUCUUGGAGUCUACUGAGAAACCGCUUUCCAUAUGUGUUAGAAGAAAUUUAUAGUCCCUCAAAAUGUGCGUCUAAGAGUUAUGCUUCUCCCCCACCACCCAACUAGAAGAGUGGCAAAUGCCAUUGACUCCUACCUGUCAAAUUCAAUAAACUAAUAUUUUUUUGUCAUCUCAGCUGACACUUCUAUGGCAUUUCACACUGUUGACUACCUCAUUUUCAAAAUUAUCUACUCCUUUGGUUACCAACAUGACAUCCCUACUGGUUCUUCUUCUGUAUGGCCAUUUCUCAGUUUCCUGUGCUGGGUCCUCUUCCUCUAAUCACCACUUAAUUGUUGCUGUUCUUCAGAGCCCUGACCAUGGCCAUCUGUGCUUCUCAUUUGGCACCUUUACCCCAGACAAUCCCAUCUACUUCUAUAUAAUCAGCAUAGGCUGAUGACCUUUUAGCCUGUAUCUCCAGCUCUGACCUCUCUCUUGAGCUCCAAAUCAGCAUUUUCAACUGACACAGGGGCAGCGCUCUUGAUGACGCACAGGCACCACAAACCAUGAAUCUUCAAAACUCAUUAUCUCCCCACCCACAACUCAGAUACUCAAGCCAAAAUCAGAGAAUCAGGCACUUUCUUACCUUUCUGUAGUUAUUCCUGUCAAUAAACAUGUCAUUUAGAGAUGUGAAAACCGAGGCUGAGUGCUCAAGUAGCUUGUCUAUAAAUCCCUCAGCUACUACAAGACACUUUUUUAAAGUUUAUUUUUAAAUUUUCCUUUUUUCUUUUUAUUUGUUUUUCCUUUUUUUUCUAAGCCCAUACCUUACAAGGACACUACAAGAGAAAUUCUAACACAUUUCAAUCUAACUCUGGAGCUGGAACUCUUAACUGUUAUGCUAAAUUCCCCUUACUAGGUAGUUCUAUUAUAGAAUAUUUUGUCUUCAUCUUGAAAAUCAGAGAGCAAGACCCUGAGGGAAGAGAACACUAAAGAGGAAAGGGUUGUUGAAACAUUCGGUUUGGAGGGGAGGUUAGGUUCCUGAACAACCGGGAGAGGUAAAAGCUCAAAAAGUGCAGGGAACAAAAGGCAGUUGAAGGAAAAAGUGCCAGGAGCCAGGGCAGAGCAGGAAGGGCCUCAGGCCAAAGUAGUCUUUCGUAGGGUCUUAUUGAGAAACAAGUGACCUCACUAGGAUUCAAUCAAGCUUGUAGGUAAGUGGUUUCCAGGUGGGAAAGGAAAAAACCUUUUGGUAAUCCCAAACUUUGAUUUCCACAUAACUUAUACUGAAAUCAAAAGGGCCAAUUUGACUGAUACACGUGAAUGGUAAACAUGAUGAAUAGCUGCAAAACAUAAUAAUUGGCAUUACUUUGGAACAGAAGCAAAGGUACAAUUAUCAUAGCCCAUUCAACCAUGAAAAUUAUAAGCAAAUUGACAGUAAAAUAAUUAUUCUCAAAAUAUUUUUUUCAACAGUUUUAUUAAGCAUCUUUCUAUUGUAGUCAUUUCUAUUUCUUCUGCUCCAAAUUCUGUCAGCCACUUUUUUUUUUCUGGCUUUACACUUAGCAACCCAUUAGGAAUGGAACUCAUUUUCAGUACACAAAAGGCUUUGGGACAGCAAAUGUCUUUAAUGUUAACACUCUCUCAGUAUCCGCUGCUUGACCAAAUAGAUAUAUUCCAACAAUGUUGGCUAUAAGAUAAAUGCUAUUUUGCUUUUGCCUUACAUUAGAAUGCUGAAGAUGUGUUCCCAUGAGUUCCUGCCUCCUUGUACCCCACUGAGUGGAAUGUUAAAAAUACGGAGAAAGCAAUUUCUACAGAUGCAGUCCCACCUCUGGCCAUGGCCAAAAUUAGCUGGAUAAUUCUUUGAAUCUGGCUAAUGUGGAAUCU
rnacentral:lncRNA from 10 species